UACGUAGGGUGCAGGCGUUAAUCGGAAUCACUGGGCGUAAAGCGCACGUAGGCGGAUUGUUAAGUCAGGGGUGAAAUCCUGGAGCUCAACUCCAGAACUGCCUUUGAUACUGGCGAUCUUGAGUCCGGGAGAGGUGAGUGGAACUGCGAGUGUAGAGGUGAAAUUCGUAGAUAUUCGCAAGAACACCAGUGGCGAAGGCGGCUCACUGGCCCGGUACUGACGCUGAGGUGCGAAAGCGUGGGGAGCAAACAGGAUUAAGAAACCCUGAG
rnacentral:rRNA from 1 species